UACGUAGGGUGCAAGCGUUGUCCGGAAUUAUUGGGCGUAAAGAGCUCGUAGGCGGUUUGUUGCGUCGGCUGUGAAAUCCCGAGGCUCAACCUCGGGUCUGCAGUCGAUACGAGCAAACUAGAGUGUUGCAGGGGGAGACUGGAAUUCCUGGUGUAGCGGUGAAAUGCGCAGAUAUCAGGAGGAACACCGGUGGCGAAGGCGGGUCUCUGGGCAGUAACUGACGCUGAGGAGCGAAAGCGUGGGGGAGCGAAGCGGAU
rnacentral:rRNA from 1 species